rnacentral:rRNA from 1 species
UACGUAGGGGGCUAGCGUUGUCCGGAAUUACUGGGCGUAAAGCGCGCGCAGGCGGUCUUCCAAGUCAGUGGUGAAAGCCUGGAGCUCAACUCCAGAACUGCCAUUGAAACUGUUAGACUUGAGUACGAGAGAGGUGAGUGGAAUUCCCAGUGUAGAGGUGAAAUUCGUAGAUAUUGGGAAGAACACCGGUGGCGAAGGCGGCUCUCUGGGCCUUACCUGACGCUGAGGAGCGAAAGCGUGGGUAGCGAACAGG